UNGACAACUAAAUGGUGUAAUUAGAUAC
rnacentral:piRNA from 1 species